CUCAAAAAAAUGGUUUUCCGGCACUGUUCGUUUUACACAUAUAUGUUUUGUUAAAACAACACAAAUAUAUUUAGUUUUCCGACAAAACACAAUUGUAUUGUGUUUAAUCAACUUAAAAUGUUUAAUUUUAAAUUUUACUUAAUUAUCAAUCGUUAAAGUAACGUAAAGGGUUUAAUUUCGUGAUUCAAAAAAAACCGGAAGUGACGAUUUCCAACGCAUUUGAUGACGGUGUGGAGGGGAGCAAGAGGUAUCAGUCAGGUUUGUGCAGAAUUUGAGACAUCCAGAAUUACCAUAGGCCCAUUAGAAUCAACAAUCUUUGCCAAACUUGAUUCGGACUGCAAAAUUUACGAAGAUGUUUUCAUACUGAAGAAGAGACCUUGGACAAAUACUGAAACCCUCUUGGUGCCCACUACACAGGCAGGGGUGUCCAGACCUGCUCUAGGAAAGCCAGUGUUCUGUGGGGUUCAGCUCUAACACACCUGCCUGGAACUUCAGACUAAUGAAAUUGAAGUAUCCAAAUGAAGACCCUAGCAGUAUGGAGUAUAUGGAUACAGACGUUGCCAGCAGUCAGGAGGUGAUCCAGAAGACUCAUGGGAAUCUAUUUGAAGCUGCAUCAUUGAAGACAGUCCAGCAGAAGUUGGAGUUUUAAAGGAUAAAGUUCUUCAGGACCUAUAGCAGUUUACAGUCUGUAAAACCAUGUUACUGGGACUGAUUUAUGGACUGAACUUGAGCAACCCUCCUGAACUCAGGUACACAUUUGGAAUACUGAAGAAGUUAUUUCUGGAGCCACUUCCUGUUCCUGGAAUAAGGUUUGAUUGGUUGCCCAUGAAUGCCAAUUAGAAUUGUAUUUGCUAUUUUGUGUAAUUUUGUAAUGUGGUUUAAACUGUAUUUUACUGUGUGUAAUUAUUUAUUGCUUGUUUAACAAAUACACUUUGAUCAUUUGUGA